AACGCACGCUAGUGGGCAGCAGCACAUGAGAAAUCAAAGUCUUUGGGUUCCGGGGGGAGUAUGGUCGCAAGGCUGAAACUUAAAGGAAUUGACGGAAGGGCACCACCAGGAGUGGAGCCUGCGGCUUAAUUUGACUCAACACGGGAAAACUUACCAGGUCCAGACAUAGGUAGGAUUGACAGAUUGAGAG
rnacentral:rRNA from 1 species